UACGAGGGGGGCGAGCGUUGUUCGGAAUUAUUGGGCGUAAAGGGUGCGUAGGCGGUUCCGCAAGUCCUGUGUGAAAUCUUCGGGCUCAACUCGAAGUCUGCACGGGAAACUGCGGGGCUUGAGUGUGGGAGAGGUGAGUGGAAUUCCCGGUGUAGCGGUGAAAUGCGUAGAUAUCAGGAGGAACACCGGUGGCGAAGGCGGAUCUCUGGGCCAUUACUGACGCUGAGGAGCGAAAGCGUGGGGAGCAAACAGG
rnacentral:rRNA from 1 species